rnacentral:rRNA from 1 species
UACGGAGGAUGCGAGCGUUAUCCGGAUUUAUUGGGUUUAAAGGGUGCGCAGGCGGGAGAUUAAGUCGGCGGUGAAAUUUUGCGGCUCAACCGUAAAAGUGCCUUCGAUACUGGUGGUCUUGAGUGUGGAUGAGGUAGGCGGAAUUUGUGGUGUAGCGGUGAAAUGCAUAGAUAUCACGAGGAACUCCGAUUGCUAAGGCAGCUUACUAAGCCAUAACUGACGCUCAAAGCACGAAGGCGUGGGGAUCAAACAGGAUUAGAUACCCU